CUGGCUCAGGACGAACGCUGGCGGCGUGCCUAAUACAUGCAAGUAGAACGCUUCUUACUUAGUGCUUGCACUAAGUAAGAGGAGUUGCGAACGGGUGAGUAACGCGUAGGUAACCUACCUUAUAGCGGGGGAUAACUAUUGGAAACGAUAGCUAAUACCGCAUAAGAAGAGUUAACACAUGUUAAUUCUUUAAAAGGGGCAAUUGCUCCACUAUGAGAUGGACCUGCGUUGUAUUAGCUAGUUGGUGAGGUAACGGCUCACCAAGGCAACGAUACAUAGCCGACCUGAGAGGGUGAUCGGCCACACUGGGACUGAGACACGGCCCAGACUCCUACGGGAGGCAGCAGUAGGGAAUCUUCGGCAAUGGACGAAAGUCUGACCGAGCAACGCCGCGUGAGUGAAGAAGGUUUUCGGAUCGUAAAGCUCUGUUGUUAGAGAAGAAUGAUGGUGGGAGUGGAAAAUCCACCAUGUGACGGUAACUAACCAGAAAGGGACGGCUAACUACGUGCCAGCAGCCGCGGUAAUACGUAGGUCUCGAGCGUUGUCCGGAUUUAUUGGGCGUAAAGCGAGCGCAGGCGGUUUGAUAAGUCUGAAGUUAAAGGCCGUGGCUCAACCAUGGUUCGCUUUGGAAACUGUCAAACUUGAGUGCAGAAGGGGAGAGUGGAAUUCCAUGUGUAGCGGUGAAAUGCGUAGAUAUAUGGAGGAACACCGGUGGCGAAAGCGGCUCUCUGGUCUGUAACUGACGCUGAGGCUCGAAAGCGUGGGGAGCAAACAGGAUUAGAUACCCUGGUAGUCCACGCCGUAAACGAUGAGUGCUAGGUGUUAGACCCUUUCCGGGGUUUAGUGCCGUAGCUAACGCAUUAAGCACUCCGCCUGGGGAGUACGACCGCAAGGUUGAAACUCAAAGGAAUUGACGGGGGCCCGCACAAGCGGUGGAGCAUGUGGUUUAAUUCGAAGCAACGCGAAGAACCUUACCAGGUCUUGACAUCCUUCUGACCGGCCUAGAGAUAGGCUUUCUCUUCGGAGCAGAAGUGACAGGUGGUGCAUGGUUGUCGUCAGCUCGUGUCGUGAGAUGUUGGGUUAAGUCCCGCAACGAGCGCAACCCCUAUUGUUAGUUGCCAUCAUUAAGUUGGGCACUCUAGCGAGACUGCCGGUAAUAAACCGGAGGAAGGUGGGGAUGACGUCAAAUCAUCAUGCCCCUUAUGACCUGGGCUACACACGUGCUACAAUGGUUGGUACAACGAGUCGCAAGCCGGUGACGGCAAGCUAAUCUCUUAAAGCCAAUCUCAGUUCGGAUUGUAGGCUGCAACUCGCCUACAUGAAGUCGGAAUCGCUAGUAAUCGCGGAUCAGCACGCCGCGGUGAAUACGUUCCCGGGCCUUGUACACACCGCCCGUCACACCACGAGAGUUUGUAACACCCGAAGUCGGUGAGGUAACCUUUUAGGAGCCAGCCGCCUAAGGUGGGAUAGAUGAUUGGGGUGAAGUCGUAACAAGGUAGCCGUAUCGGAAGGUGCGGCUGGAUCACCUCCUUUCUAAGGAAAUGGAAGCACGUUAGGAAAAUGUCUUAUUUAGUUUUGAGAGGUCUUGUGGGGCCUUAGCUCAGCUGGGAGAGCGCCUGCUUUGCACGCAGGAGGUCAGCGGUUCGAUCCCGCUAGGCUCCAUAGUCACUUGAAAGUUAUCGAGUGAUGAAGACCUGACAACGAAGUCAUAAAAAUAGUAUGUCCAUUGAAAAUUGAAUAUCUAUAUCAAAUUCCGCAAUCAGAAAUGAUUGUAGAAAAGUAACAAGAAAUAAACCGAAAAAAAGCUGAAAAUAUUUAAUGAGUUUAACUAGUUUGAAAUAUACUAGUAAAAUAAGGUUAAGUUAAUAAGGGCGCACGGUGGAUGCCUUGGCACUAGAAGCCGAUGAAGGACGUGACUAACGACGAAAUGCUUUGGGGAGCUGUAAGUAAGCAAUGAUCCAGAGAUGUCCGAAUGGGGGAACCCAACAUGUAAUGCAUGUUAUCCAUGACUGUUAAGGUCAUGUGAAGGAAGACGCAGUGAACUGAAACAUCUAAGUAGCUGUAGGAAGAGAAAGCAAACGCGAUUGCCUUAGUAGCGGCGAGCGAAACGGCAACAGGGCAAACCGAGGAGUUUACUCCUCGGGGUUGUAGGACUGCGACGUGGGAUCAAACAUUAUAGAAGAAUUACCUGGGAAGGUAAGCCGAAGAGAGUAAUAGCCUCGUAUUUUAAAUAGUGAAUGACCCUAGCAGUAUCCUGAGUACGGCGAGACACGCGAAAUCUCGUCGGAAUCCGGGAGGACCAUCUCCCAACCCUAAAUACUCUCUAGUGACCGAUAGUGAACCAGUACCGUGAGGGAAAG
rnacentral:rRNA from 1 species